rnacentral:rRNA from 1 species
AUUGAACGCUGGCGGCAGGCUUAACACAUGCAAGUCGAACGAGUGGCGGACGGGUGAGUAAUGCCUGGGAAUCUAGCUGAUGGAGGGGGAUAACUACGGGAAACGGUAGCUAAUACCGCGUACCAUAGGAUGAGCCCAAGUGGGAUUAGGUAGUUGGUGAGGUAAAGGCUCACCAAGGCGACGAUCGCUAGCUGGUCUGAGAGGAUGACCAGCCACACCGGGAAUGGGGACAGGCCCAGAACCCUACGGGAGGCAGCAGUGGGGAAUCUUCGGCAAUGGACGAAAGGCUGACGGCGCAACGCCGCGUGAUUGAUGACGGCCUUCGGGUUGUAAAGCUCGUUAAGCGGGACGACGGUACCGGAAGAGAAAGCAACGGCUAACUACGUGCCAGCAGCCGCGGUAAUUC